rnacentral:lncRNA from 1 species
UUACACAAUAGUUUCCGGUGUAGAAACUAUUAUGCGAAAAAUAUCUAAAUGCUAAAAAGGGAAAGGUAAAUUGCAAGGGAAAAAGAAUGUAGAACUUGCAAAAGAAAAACAAAUAAACAAUGUUAAGUUGCUGGAAAAGAAAAUUGCAGAAGCGUAAAAAGAAAGAAAAUUGGAAAAGCUUCGGCAGCGUGAGCGUGGAAAAACCGAGGAACACUUUUAGGUUUUUGAAGUAGCUAUUUAUAUUGGUGUUGGUAACUGCUUUUCGUUUCCCCCGGGUCUUCAACGUGGCUAAAUGCAUGGCGUGGAUAUAGGACACAAACUCCUCAACGUCUCUUCAAGUCUUC